rnacentral:rRNA from 1 species
UACGUAGGUCGCAAGCGUUAUCCGGAUUUAUUGGGCGUAAAGCGUCCGUAGCUGGUUGUAUAAGUCUAUUUUCAAACACCUGGGCUCAACCUAGGAGAGGGAAUAGAUACUGUACAACUCGAAGUCAAUAGAGGUGGGUAGAAUUUCGUGUGGAGGAGUGAAAUCCGUUGAUAUGCGAAGGAAUACCAAAAGCGAAGGCAGCUCACUAUAUUGAACUUGACAGUCAGGGACGAAAGUCUGGGUAGCAAACGGG